AUUUGUAUAGUUUAAAUUUAAAACACCUUAUUUUCAGUAAGGAGAAAAGAGAUAUCUUUAUAAAUA
rnacentral:tRNA from 1 species